GAACAAGGACAGGAACUAGGUAGAUUACACAACUGUACAGAACUACGUGGGCUUUAGUUUUGUGUAUCCUGUAGCAAAUGUUGUCUGGCUACUCAAAAAUUAAGAGGCUUGUAGAAGAUCAAGACUGUUCGUAUUAGAAUAUGAAAGGACUGUGACCUGCUGUACAACUGAGUACAGAGAGAGGGCUGAUUCCUUGCCCCAGGACAUCAUAUAAUUUAUGCUCUGCUUGUGUACUUGACUGAAGAUUCAGGAGCUAAAUUUUUAACCCAGUCCCAGGUAGAAAUAUUUACUGGGAGAAUGACUCACAGAUAAGAUGCAACUCCCUCUGCUGUCCUUGUAGUAAAUGAAUUAGUAAUUGCAAUCUUGCAAACAAAGAUGCAGUCAAAUUAGUAUAUGGCGUGAUAGUUAUUAGGAGCAUAUUCUCUCUUCUCCAGUGUGUACAAAACCCUUUCAACACUUACAUGAGUGUAAUUUUGUUUCAGUAGACCACUUUUAAAAAUGUAAUUAUAUCCCUUUAUUAAGAGGAAUCGUAGACAGGUAUGUUUAUUUUAUUAACUGCAGCUUAUGUGAUGUUAAUUAUGUGUGAUAGGUUUUGCAGUGUAUAGCAACAAAAGGUGCAGAGAUUUUAACUGAAUUAAGGUCAUCUAUUUUAGGGCUCAUGUACAAUAAAGUGCAUUUCUGAAGGUCAGAUUUGGACUAAUUUAAGCUGGAUAUAGGGAACGAAGUUUCUGAAAAAUCCAGUAUAUGUGCUCUCAGAUAUCAUCUGAGCUUCCUGGUACACAAAUUCUCUGAACUUCCAUGGGCAACUAAAUUUAAAUGUUGUGUAUUUCUAGAAGAUCCUGGUCUAAGUGGAUAGUCUCCUCUUACCAAAAAAUCAUGGCUGUAGCCCAGUCUCCACUUAACUGUGUGGAGUGGCCUGAAAAGUGUGUUCCAGCUGUCACAAACCACGUGGGAACUAGACUGAGGUUAUUCAGAGGAUGAAGGUGCAGAUAGAGCUGGAGUUGUAGAAUAACUUAAGUAGUCAGAUCACAUGCCUGUGUAACUGGAAAACGGCUCCAAGCCUUCCUCUGAAAGCAUAAGCCAAUUCACCAGGGAGUCCCCUUGUUACAAGACAACCCUGAGAAGCUCAGAAAGAAUGUUUGAAUGGAGGCCAUCUAAGGGAAGGCGCUCUGCUGGCAUCUGGUGUGGGCAGCUAACUGACAGGCCUAGACUCAGCUGCAUUUGGACUAUCUGGAAUAUUUUGCUAAACCACAGUUGGGUUUUGAAUUUGUGGGUCAUAAUAUAUUAUUAUUCUUAUUGCAUAGCAAUAGGCAAGUCAGCAGCCUAAAUGUUCUUACAGUGAGGAAAUUACUCUGGCCAAAUGCCAGCCUGGAGCACUUUAGCAAGGGAACCUGGAUAAAAUUUAUGAAGACAGAGGGGGGAAAAUGUGAUUUUUUUGAGUGUAUCUACCAUGGCUCUCUUCUGAAGAGUUAUGAACAAUGUGAAGGCAAUGAGCUGACUUGAAUUACAGCCACAAUGAGCAGCAGUCCAGCUGAGGAGAUCUACAGGGCUCCACAUUUGCACUCUAACUGUGAUUACUUCAGCUGAUGGACAUGGUAGAGCCCUGCUGGGAAGAAUUCUUUUAAGUGUAGGAGGUGGAUUUUCCCAUGAUUUGGAGAUCCCCAGAAAAAAACUAUAAACUGAUGUCAGGAAAAGAAAGUGCUGCUGAAUGCUGUCAUGCUUGACUUCAUCAACUUUGUAUUGUGGAUAGGCAGUUACUGCAGGAAGCAACUGAGACAAAAGCUAACUGUUGUGAUGAGGAGUAAAAUGAAUCAGCUUGAAUCGAUAGUGAAGGCAUCUAAGUGAUCUUAUUUCACUUUGCACUGUAUGGAAGCCUAGUUCAUUGCACAUUUGGCUUGUGCAUCUCAGCUAAGUGUGUAGUAACUUCUUAAAUGGUUAGAAGUGAUCUAUAGCACCAAUAUUUAAGGACCAUUGCCAAGAUAGCCUAGUGAUUGGAGGGCCAUUUGUAGGUAUUAUGGAGUUAAUAAAUGGACUUCUCACUUGUGGUAUUUCCUUUUUCUUUCCUUUUUUUGAGACAGCGCAUGUUUUAAAUCCUUGAACUGACUACUUAUCAAUUUAUGCUUUGUUAUCACUGGCAACCUCAAUGAUAUGAUUUUGGCUUCCUAGAUUUGUGAAUUGGCUGGGAUUUGGUCUUAUGAUUUUUUUUCGUGGUUGUUUUUGGAGUUGAAUAUGGGCCUUUUUUGCUGCAAAUUCCAUAUAGUCAUUCUUCCUUAAAAAGAAUAGUUGCUUACUUUGCAUGAGUUGGUAACAUUUAUACAUGUAUAUAUAUAAUUCUUUUAAAACUGAUGUACAUGACUUUUGAUGGUUAAAUGGAAAUUUAAAUUCCUGGUGUCUCCAAACUUUUACUUCUGAGGUAACUUUAUUGCUAGAAUUUGGCACAAACAUUCUGAACUUCUUUUAAACCUCAGAUGAUGUUAUACGCAGUGAGAAGUAUGUUCUGUAAAAAUUCUAUAGAUUAGGAAUGAAGAAUCCAAAAUACUUAUUGAUAAUUAACUCGCAGUUUCAAGUUACCUGAUCUUGUGAAAUAUCCUAAAGUUUCCCUUUUCUAGUAAAAAUCCCAGCAUUUCCAUUUCUCCGUAUUCUGUGAAGAUCAACAGUGUAGUAUGUUGAAGUAGGCUGCAGUGUACUGAAGACACUCUAGAAAAACUAUAGCAUAAGGAAAAUGAGAGAAUUGAAAUUCUGCUAAUGCAACAGUUAAACAAUUUAGAUAUAAAAGUCAGGCAAAUUACCCCCCCCCAAAAAAAACAGUCCCAUAGUAACAAUAAGUUGGCUAUGCUGAGCGAUUUACAUUAUCUAACACUGCUGUUGGUGGUAAUAAACACAUACUGUUAUAUGUAAAGUGUGUUCAGUAUGGUUAUAUUAAUACUGCUCUGGGAACCAUAACUUUUGAUUUUCUUGACCUCUGUGUAUUUAAAUAUUUGGCCUUAAUGUUGCAUUAAAUUUUCUUGGAUUUUCAAAAAAAAAAAAAAAAAAAAAAAAAAGAGGAGGUGGGGAAGUCAGUGUGGAUCAUGAAGAAGAACACAAUGAUACUUAAUUAUAAUUUAACAGAGAUGAAAGUAAACUAGGCUUUAAUCCUUUAGGACUGAGUGUUUUGAGUAGGUGUUAAGACUUCUCAUUUUAUGGUUCCCUGAUGAAUGGAAUCAUGUUACACCUAAACAGGUUCUCAAAUAAAAACACACAAGCAACUGUGCUUGUGUCCAAAAAAAAUAAAACCAAAACAAAAAAGCAAAGCCUUGUGAAAUCAUCUUUGUAUAUGGAUAUAGGUAGGUGUAGUAUAUUUCUAGAAAUUCUGUCAUUUUAAAUCGUGUUAUAACAAAUGUCUAUCAGUUUUCAUUGAUACUUAACCUUGAUAAAUGAGCUGCAUAUGGGAUAUCUAGGUGUUGAGGGGAGCAAACAGUGAAUAUGUUUGCUUCAAGCUCUCUAGAUGCAAUUUAUGUGAACUUUGGGGAUCUACACUUGCAUAACCUAAAUAAAAUUGUGUAUGUCCUGUUGUAUUUCUUUCUGUACACAAGUAACAGGAAGUAAUGUUUCUACACAAAGUGAAUAAAAAACCACAUAGUAUAAUUUAUGCAGGUGGUUCCUUAAGUGUUUGAAUUAUCCUAAUGGUUGAUUCCAUCAAGUUUAGAUGUCUUGUUCUUAUGCACUGGAUAUAGUACCUUACUUCCAUGCGAAUAUGAUAUAGUACACUUACUUACACUUAGUUUCCCUUAAAUGGGGCCAUUUGUGGACUAAGUACUUUUCGACCUGAGAAAUAGCACGGAACGUUGCUCUGAGCUGAUCACUGAACAUUGUUCUUUACAGUGUCACAUUUGAUGGUAUGGAUAAAAUAAUUUCUUUCUUUGUAUCUUCAAGUACAAGAGCAAAAUACAAUCAAAUACGCUACUAUCUUUUUGAUGGAUGAGUCGGAGUUGAGGAUUUAUCAGUCUAAGUGUUUCUCUAUCUUUCCUCAAUUUUUGGUUGACUCAUAACACUUAGCUUUUUUUUCUUUAACUAGACAAAAAGCAUCAUGGCAAGGUAUCAGCUGUCACGCUGGUUAUCAUUGAAACAGAGUUUACUACCUCAGUACAUUUAUAUAGAUAACAUUGAUUAAAUGAAAGUCAGUGCUCUUUGAGUAUUACAUAUAAAACCACUUGCCAUAGUAAUUGAGACCCUUAGAAAUGUGCAGGGUGGUUAGAUGCAUAGAGUAAUAAAGGACAGACUAGAAUAGAGACUCUGUUUUUCAAACACUGCAAGGCCAGACCAGAAAUCUUUUCCAAUAUGCUACCCCAGAACCAGAGUUCAGAACAAAAUAUGCAUUUUGAAAGUCUGGUUCAUCUUUGCUUUCAGUAGUAGAAUGUUCUUUCUCAGAAGAGGGAAGAAUCCUAAUAUGCCAUAGGUGAUCUUAAAACCUGCAUCCCACCCAAAGACAAGAGGAUGUGCCAUUGGGCUUACAAUGUGAUUUGGAAAAAAGCAUGAAAAUGAAAGUAGGGAGGAGAGGACAGAUCACAAUUACAUAGAAACUAGAUUUUCUAAAUAUUUACUUUUGAAGACAGAUCCUAUUACCCCAUCUUCUGCUUGUAGCUAGUGACCAUUGGUGCAUCUUUUAACUAGCACAGAAGCUGGUCUUUUGGAGGGAGUUGAAAAGAAGCUGUGUUAUACCUUGUUUCUUCUGCCCCCCUCCCUUUUUUUUUCUUCUCCACCCACUAGUCACACUGUUUUCUUCUAGGUUAUGUCUUGGCUUUACACUUAAACCAUUUUUUAGUGCACACCACCUGAAUGAGGCUGAGGAGCAGAACUAUGAGAAAUGGAUUGAAAUUUUUUCCCUUGUUGGCUGUAACUAGAAUUGAGUCGGUCUUUUGUUUUCCCUAAGUCAGCUGCUGAAGCAGGGGUUAGGAUCCAGUGCAGUGAACCAAAAUUGAAAAUUAAAUAAUAAUAAUAAAAAAGGUGAAAAGGGACAAAAAGGCAGGAAAAUGUUUUGGUGAUUGAAAGGGUGUUCUGCAACCUUAACCAGACUGUUUGGUUUGUGUACUUGUAAUAAAAGCAAAUGUAACAUAGGACUUGAUAACAAAAAGGAGGAGGUCAAGGAGAGGCUGGUAGCCCACAUGUAUGCAUUGACUUGCUUGUGAAGUACUGAGCAUCAGUUUGGCCCUCUACCCAAGUAGAUUGGUAUCCACAUCUCUAGAGAGCGCUGUAACUGCCAGAUUGGGACUUUCUGGAUGCGAUGCUUUCUGCAUCAUGGUACCCUGGGUGCUUCUGGAAAUCCCUGUUCUACUGACCCCUUAAAUAGCUGUCAAAUCUGGUGAGUGGGAAAGAAUCUCUACCCAUUGGUUUGAGUGUCCUUCUGGAAGAAAGACAUGUAGAUGCAGUUCUUUUCAGAGAGGGGGAGAGAGAAGAAUCUGCACAUCUCCCAGCCUUGCAAAUGCCUUGAAAAUAGAGCUACAGGGCAAAAUGUGAGGGCUUGCCCUCCUCCACUGGAAUUGUGAACCUUACUGUGAACCUUUUCUAAGUGACUUUGGAUAUGUCCCAAAUGAAAUAUUUUGAAAUUUUCAAACAUUUUAAACAUUGAAAAAAACAAACAAACAAAACUCCUAGAUAAAUAGUGGUGGAGAAAAAAUUGGCGUUACCUAAUUAUACCUCUGCCUUCAGAGAAGACUUUUUUCUGAAAAAAUGAUACUUAUUUUGAUACACAGUUCACUAAAAAAAAAAUCUUCCAAGCAUGAUAUAUAGGAUUUUUUUCAGUGAAAUAAAAUUCUGAUGGACUAUACUGCUUCAUCAAAACCUAAAUAUUUUUGUAUAUAUAUUGGUUUCAGGUUUUUAUUAUUAUUAUUAUUGUUUUUAAGAUCUUUGGCUCGUUGGUAAGUUAUGGUCAGAAAUCUAUAUAAACAAGACAGUGCUUUGUGAAAAUGUUUGGAAUUUUUUGAUGUUUCAAGGUGAAAUAAAUUUUUAAUAUUUAAAUGUUGAUAACAAAUAGAGUGGGCCCCACUGGUAUAGAUGCAAUUCUUAGAUUGUGGACCAAAAGAAGACUGACCUUGUUAGUAUGUGUUUGAAAUAAAGCCCAAAACUUUGUGCACGUACUCUCUUGUGGUAGCGUUUUAAUAGAUAAUUUGGCUUUAUUUGUACAGCCUCUAGCAUAUUUGGUCUUUAGUCGGGCUGAGGACUUUAAGUGGUGCUACAAAAUAAAUAAGAAAUAACAAAAUAUCUUGAGGGAACUACUCUCACGAUAUCUGUUAACUUAGCGAAAUUAACUAGCCUGUUCUCGCCAUUGCAAAAUAUACUUGAAGUGGAGAGAGACUGAAUGUUGUUUGACUGCUGAACAGGGAAAUUUCUGCCAUUUAUAGCUGAGGGAUUUGAAGUAUUUGAUUAAAAAAAAAAAAAGCAACCUAUUGCUUUAUAUAAUUGUGUGUGGCACAAUGAACUAUGGUAAAGUGAUUGUGAACCUGAGGCUGAAAUUGUCAGUGAUGCAUAACCUGGAGUAGUUCUACCAGAAGAGUAAUUUUUACAGGCACAUUAAUGAUACCAGAUACAGGAGCAGCCACAAAACACCUAUGCAGAGAAUGGUAUGCUCUCAUAAAGCAUAUGGAAGAGUGAAGGGAGAGGAGUGUGAAAAGGACCAUUAACUGUGUUCUACUGUUAUCAGAAAAACUAUACUGGCAGAUGCAUAUGGCCAUCCUUUGCUCUGAUGUGAGGAGCAAUCAGCAGAAUGCACUUUCUGAAAGUGCUGCUGUGGUGCUAAGUCUGUUAACUUCGAGAAAAAACACCCAAAAGAGAGACAUCAUUCAAAACGCUUUGCUGGUGGUGUCCCUUCUCUCCCAGAAGCACCAUCUUCAGCAUCACUGCCUCUUUUUUCAUGAGGCUAUUAAACAGAGCAAAAAUCAAUACAUAAUUUAUCUUUCUACAUGUGGCAGAGUUUGAGAGAGUGAAAGAAAUGCAAUAGUUGAAAAAUGCAGUGCUUUUGGUAUUUAGCUGAUGAGGAAAAUCAGUUCUUAAAGGAGAAGCCUUAGUGUGGUUUUGCAUGUGUUGUGUGCAUGAAGCCUUAUGUGAUAGCUGAGUUUGUGCUCAAUACUGUGGUGCAGAGUCUCCAUGAAAAAAUGCAGCAACCAAUGCUAACUACAAGGCAUGGGAAGUGAUAACAGUAACGUUCUUCUAACCUAGAGUGGAGGUCUUACAGUAUUGAUCCAGAAUGUGGAAAGCUUGGAUUAAGGUCUGCCAGUGCCUGAGGAGGCUUUAAAACUCGUGUCUCCCCUUCCAAGAAAGAGAGUAAAACAGUCCCAAAAGAGGCAAGACUAAGAUGUUUUCAAAUUCUGUUGACAUUUUUCUAGUAUUUAUAAAUAUUUCCUGGGAAGUCAAGUGGAAUCUAAAUGCUCUUUUCCAAGAGAGCAUUUUGACCACUAGCUUUAGAAAGGCAUUCCUAUUCAGUCUCUCCUUCUGACACCAUUUAAAUAGUUAUGCAAAGUGGAACCACUUCACCAGGAAAAGCUGAUGGAUAGUCAUCUCAAAAUAUCCACCAGGUUGGUGACUAAGGCACUCUUUAGGAAUAUAUGCAUUCAUUUCUCUUGACAGCUUAGGGGUUGGAAGGUUGCAAACACUUUUGCUGUGCUCUUUUCUGAGAUGCAUAUAUCCUCCUCCCAUAAGCAGUGUGGUGUUUAGGAAACUGGGCAUGAAGAUGGGUUGGGGGAGAGGGAGAGAGUAUGAAUGUGAUUUCAGACUCAGUAGGAACAUGGCUUUGCUCAGAGGCAAGUUAAUAUCAAUCCGUCCCUCUGCAGUUUGUUUCUGUGGAGCUGCUGUUGCAUCUGCAUUUCUGCAGGCAUGAGAGCUGCUGCUUUGUGUGGAAGUGAAGUUGGAUCAUUGCUUUUGUGCAAAACAGCAGCUCCAGCCUCUGCAAGAAACUGUCCUGUUGCAUUCACCCUCCCCUUCUGGUAACCUUAUCACACUUGUUGUGGGGAGCAAGGGGAACCAGAGGAUAUUCUUCCUUGUUUUUAAAAACAACUUUGUCUUAAGUGAGAACUGUAGCCCAGAAGCUCUUGGGUUAAAAAAACUCACUUUUCCCUUUCCAUCAUUUAUUGAAUAUAGUUCUACCUUGCUCUCCCACUCCCCUGGCCACUCUCCAAUUUUUUUCUAGUCAAAAAUGAUGAAUUCAGUCUGAGUUGCAAACAGUUUUGGCAUGGUUGUAAACUGCAUUUUUCAGUGAAUUGGCUGUACAUUGAAGAGACUCUCUCCCAGCUCUAGUAAAUACUACUUUCUUCUAGUAAGACAGUCUAAAAUCCCUGCUUCUUGGGGGUGGGAGUAUGUCAGUUAUUUCUGUGUCAAGCUUAAAUUCUACCACAUUCAAUUCAUUGAGCUCUUCCUAAAUAGCCUGCUUGUAGCAGUAGCAAAAGACUUAUACACUGCUGUUCUAUAUGUAUAUAUAUAUAUAUAUGUGUGUGUGUGUGUGUGUGUGUGUGUAUAUAUAAUUUUAAUUAGGUAAAGCGUGGUCUGUGCAACCUUGCAUGAACUACUUGACAUUUGUACUGCUGAGUAGUAACUUUAUGAUUCUUUCUCAGACUCCCCAUUUGCCUUUCUACUGCUUGUUUUUGGUGCAAUGAUGUGUGGUGGGCCCUUUCACAGCGAAGCACCUUGGGAAGUGCUCUGCAGACUCUCCGUGCUCAUGCUUUGACUCAUUUGCUAAGGUGUUCACCUAUGUUUGCUAUCCUGAAGCCCACUGUGGUAUCCUAGUUGCUGUGUGGUGGAGCAGCUUAUACACUUUAGGGCUUGUAGCCAGGACUUCUGAUCUAAGGGUCUAAAUUUCAGCCAGACAGGAAAAAGUAUUAAUAGGUAGGUAAAUGCUGGAGGAAUGGGAAGGUUUUCAAAAAUGGAAUAUCUUUGUAUUUUCCUUGCUGUUUUAGAAGCUUGGAAUUUUAAUCUUUUUCUUUUUUAAUGAAAAAUUGUAUGUGUAUAUUGGUUUGUGUUUUUGCACAGCAAUGUGCCUGACAAAUAACGAAAGUUGAUUCGUCAUGGAUUACACUGUUACUUUUAUAGGAAGCUACUAUGAAAGCAUGAAGAAUUACAUCUAUCUGACACGUAUAAUAAUGGUUUUAGAUCUAGGGAGCAAGGUGCAUUCACUAACUUAGUACUUUGAUUUGCAAUGAUGCCUUGGUAUCGUUAUGACUGUUUACACUUAGAUUCAUGCAGACACAGAAUAAUUUAGUUUUGGAAGGGACCCUUGCAGGUUAUCGAAUCCAGCCCCCUGCUUGAAGCAGGGUAAUUUCAAAGUUAGAUUGCUCAGGGUUUUGUACAAGUAAAUUCUGAAAACCUCCAACAAUGGACAUUUCACAGCUGCUCUGGGCGACCUGUUUCAGCUGUUAGUGACUUGUGAUUUUUGUUUUUCUCUUAUCUUGUUUGAAUUUCCCUUCAUGCAACCUGUGACCAUAACCUUUUGUCUUUCUGUGCACUUCUAAAAUGAGUUUGGCUUUGUUUUCUCUGUUUUCCCUCUCCCUCAUUUAGACAGAUGAAGACAGCAAUUAGAUUACCCUAAAGCCUUCUCUUCUCUAGGCUGAACAAAUCCAGCUCCUUCAGCCUCUGCUCCUUCAUCAUGUGCUUCUAUCCCUGACCACUUUAGUGGCCUCUGCUUGUUUUUCACAGGUUUGUCAAGAUCUCUCGUAUAUUGAGGGACUCAAAACUUAUUACUCUGUCCUGCAGGAAUAUCCAAACAUUGUCAGUUGUCUUUUACCCUUUGAUGGACUCUUACUGCUGAUAAGAGCUGUGUGGUCUUCCAGAGUGGCUACAGCCUGAAUAGUACAAUUAGUUUGUUUUAAUGAAUUAAUACACAUUUUUGUAUGUCAAGGAAGUCUUUUGCUUUGCAGGAUUGCAUUGAUUUUGCUGAAAACUUUAAUAAUAAAGGCUCUGCAAUUGAUAUUUUUAUUUGCUUACUCUUCCGAGAAACAUUUUUCUUUAUUAUUUUGUAGAGUUUGCUACUUUUCCAAACUAUAGGGGAAUAACCUAGUUCCAUAACUUACUUUUGUUUUUCUUUCUUAAAAAAAAAAAAAGCACUCUAAUAUUUAGAGUUGGAAAAUCUGUCUUUAGUGGUCUGACAGAGCUAUAAGAAGCAAUACACCUCUGCUACGUACCACACUGGGAUACGGGCAGAGAGGAAGAAAGGUAAUGAGCAGGGGCUUGGUGUUACCAGACCCCAAAUCAGUGCAACCAAGGGAUGGACUUCAGUUAGCUAUGAGAGAAUAUUACUGCUGGGCCUCUGCGGAGAAGCACUGUGGGAGAGUUAACAGUAGUUGUGAUUUUGUCUGUGUGUGUGUGUGUGUGUGCAAAUAAGUUAGUUACAGUAUUUGCCCUCAGUAAGGUCAUUGUCUUUAACAAAACAUGAUUUUCUACUUGCAUAUAUAUUGAAGUAAACAAACUGCACUGUAGUGACUCUUGCAAGAAGGCACUUUUGUCCUCUUUUCUUCAGAACAGGAAAACAGUCUAUGGAGGGCUCCUGUGAACAAAUACUCUUCCAUUCACUUGGAUAGAAUUGUACCUUUUUAUUUCAAAACGGAAUUUAGUUAUGGUAAUCUCUAACUUCUUCAGCUAUCUAGUAUUGUGGCAAUCAGAAGGAAUAAAGAUUUGCCUUUCAGUUUACUUUGUUUUUCUUUGCCUUGUACUUUCAUUGUGCUGGAUUGACCUCUAUGAAUUUGAAGUGAUAGUGUAAGGCAACAUAAAUCUCCAUGGGUAUUUUCUGUGCAGGAAUACUCCUCUGAGAGGAGGGGACAGAUUUAUAGGCUUUCCAGGUGGCUUCCUCAGUGGCUUAUUUUUGGACCAGCCAGCUCUGGCCAGUUUUUCUGGUAGGCAACCUCUAUGAUAGUGUCACUGUGCCCUUCAGGAUUUCCUCAUUUAUAUACACUGUUGAUUGCGAUGCGUGAUCUAAAGAGCUCGCUAUAAUUGUCACUCUCAGACAAAAUGCAUUGACUGUGAAUGUUCAUCAUCACCUUGCAAAUGUGAUGUAAACAGUGAAGUGUAAUAUUUCUUUGAAUAUUAACUAAUUCCCUUCACUGUUGUCUUGAAUCCAGGUCAACAGAUCCAUUAGCUUGGCAAGCUGAUGUAGCGAAGAGAGGCUGGGAAAAAAAACAGUAAAUCGUCAUGGCAUGGGAUUUUUCCUAUAGUUUCAUUCUAAGCCCUACGUGUGACCAUCGGUUAUAAAUUUAAAGAAUAUAUUUGUUGCAAUUAAAAUUAUUUUAUAGACUGCAAAAGGAAUGCAAGUCCCUAGGAAUUUUUUUGUGCAGGAUGUCUUUUUACUGUCUCUUUUUCACAAAUUCCUGACUGCUUUCUGUGUCCUCAGACACCUGCCUUCAUCCCCAAACCCAGACUGAAAAACCUCAACUGUGGGAGAUUCUUCCUCUUCCUGAACAGCCAUUUUUCCUUUAGUGUGGAAGGAGUGCUGAGUAAGACUCAGGGCCAGCGGAGAGCCUAUCCUUCCCAGGUUACUAGAUGAGAUGACACUUAGGCUGUUGAGAAGGAUUACAGCUGGAGCGAAGGAGAUUUGUGAUAUGAAAAAGGUGGAAAACGACUGUUCAUUUAAUGAAGCUAAACAUGUUUAUAUUCUGCAGUCAGUGUUUGUUGGUAUGGGCUUUGCAGACAAUUUGUUAAUAUCUGAAGAUAUUUUGAUGACAACAUAUCCAGAUAUGUUCAUUAAGACCUUUUUCUUAUUUUCGUGUUUCAUAGAUACACAGUUUUGUUGUGCUUCAGUAAGCUAUGUGUGUUCUAUCUUCCUACCCAGAAGGACCCAUGUUUCUGUUUUGGAUGAUAUGGUUCUGUACCCUUUAAAUCUGGAAAUUGUUAGAUAAUGAAUAUAUUAGUGAAUAUACUUGGUCAUGAAGCCUUAAACCCUUCUACUGAAGGAAGCUUCCUGCAUUUCUGACAUUUCCAUCUAAGCAUUUUCAGCUUCAGAUUCUGAGUGACUUGGUACUUGUAUCUAACUCAUAUUUAUAUUUUUGCUUUAACAAUAAAAUGAUCUCUGUUGAAUAAGGGUACUUUUUUUAUUUAGCAUACAUGAAAGAUUCAGUCUUCUGAAGUAAUUAUUAAACUUUCCAAAUAGGCUCUGUUCUCUGAGACAGGAUCUAUAUUUACAUAAUUUAGAGUUGCUGUGAUUGAGUCCACUUAAAUAAUAUAUGACAGAGAAAUCUUCCUGCACCCAGUCAUGAUUAGAAGACUGUAGCACUUCCUUUUGCAAUUAGGGAACUUACUGGUAUGAAAUUAUCAAAUUGAACUUAAUUGUUUAGGGAGUGCAUCAUCAUGCACCCCUUUCAAACAUUUAUCUUUUCCUCUGUGUUUAAUGUAUCAUAUUUAAUGUAUUACAUUUAAAUGUAUCAACAUUUUAAGUAAACAAUAGCUGAAUAUUGAUCUCAAUCUCUGGGGCUGUGUGUGCAUUAGCACUUUGGUUUCGAGCAGUAAUGCAAUUCUGACGCAACCCCCUUGACUGUCUCUAGUCACUGCAUGCAUAUUCAGUUUUCAGUGUGGUCAUAGUGCAUGUGAACUUGGUUCCUUCUGGAGGACGCUAAUCUAGAAGAACUUCUCAGUCACUGGAGCACAUUUGGAAUAGACAUAAGGGUCUGCCCCAAUGAAUAUGCUGCCUCAUCACAAGGUCCUCCAUCAUGCAUCAAACACCUGUUGGGAGGCUCUUGAACCACUGGGAACUCCUUCAGCGUGCUGAAGGGGUUCUCGUACUGCAGCAAGGACUAAACGUCAUGUGUGUCUUCCUCUUUGCCAUCCUUCACUAGCUCUCAGUUCUUCAUUUUGACUGCUGCUCCUUCCUCAUCCAUCUGUACUUUUCCUGCUGUGUAACCCUUUCCCUUUUUGUCCUGCCUUACCUUCAGUUGCCUUAUCCCUUUGCUGAGUCCCUUUUUUCCUUCUUGACCAUUAAAAAAUUUUUUAUUUUUCAUCGCUUCUUCUGCUAGGUUAAUAAGAGUAGCUCCCAUGCAGAGGGGAAAAACCUUGAUGCUAAGGACUCUCAACAAAAUAGUGCAGCCUACUUUAGAAAGAAGGAAUUCAAAAGGAACCAGAUUGUCUGCUUAGCGCUCAGGUCGAGGCUUUACAAGUUACUUCAUUCUCAACAACCUCUCGUCCCCCGAAGUAUAGCUGGAAGAAAACAGAGAUUCUGAAUUUCUGCACAAGUGCAGCUCUGAUAGUUGUCUUAUUUUGUUCUGAUUUUUUUUUUUGAUAGUGCAUGCCAGUUGUUGACAAUUUUUAAAAGUUGUGGUAUGUGAAGUGAUAUUAGUACUCUAAAUAAUCACUAAGGAAAUGUGUGAUGCUACUAUCUGAAUACAGCACACUGCCUCACUAAUAGGCAUACAUAAAACGUGCAUGCAUUUUUCUCCUGUAUGUUUUUUAUUCUCUUAGGUAUACUAAGAUUCUGUAUAUAAAGAUCUUAAUAAUAGAAGUGGACACAAUGAUUUUUAUACAUCAGCAUAAAAAGAGUUUAUAAAAUGUUGAUAACAUAAGAAGAUAACAGUUCUUUUCAACAAUAAGCCUUUAUUCUGAAAAACAAAAUAGAAAUGCAUUGAUUUAUUUGUAAAUAGAAAUAACAAACCUUUAAACAUGCAAAAUCCAUUUAUAUACUUAAUUAGAAUCAUACUACCACUGGGCAUAGAAUUGUUUUACAAUUCCCCACCUAAUUUUGUAGAUACAGAAUAUAAAAAGUAAAUUGCAUAAAACAGUAUAAAUGAUAAAUGCUAGUGUAACUGCCUUUCAUAUUCUAACUGUUUAUAAGAUACACUAAUGUUUGGAACUAAAAAUGUUGUUCAGUAGUUGGUUCCUGCAUUAUUUAUAUUCUCUUUCCUACCAAAUGAAGAAGCAGCUGAUGAUUGCUGUGAAAGCUGUAUUAUUCCACUCUGAAUCCUAUACUGGCAGCAACAUGUGAAUUUUGUUAAUAUUUAAACAAGUAAAAAACUUAUAAAAAAAAAUGUUGUAUCACCUGAUCUCUAUUAGGGAGAUUUGAAAGACUGUCCUCAUGUUUUUGUCUUAACUUUGAACAUCUCCAUGAUUUGUCUUGUUUCUUUUCAUAUUUUUAUCUGCUUGUUGUUAUUCUACACUUGCAGGUCAAAUGUUGGUUUUACUUUCCUGUCUGGAUUUUUAAAGUGUUUUUUUGCACCUUUUUGGAGUUCUUGGUCAGAAUUGUUUACCCCAGUUAGGGAAACUCUCAGUUUUAAAUCCAUUUUAUUUUCUUUGUAUGUUUUAGGCAUUGUUAGUGAGGGCAGGUUUCUACUGCUGGAGCUAUGGCCCAUAAAACUAAUUUAUAAUUUAGCAGGCUGCAAAAACUCUGUGACAGGUUUUUGCUUCCAUUUGGUUGUUGUAGCAGUUUCUCAGUAGGUUAACCAAGAAGUUCAAUAUAACUAUGCCCUUAGUUAUUUAACCUUAUGCAGUCUAUGUAUUUUUAGAUAUUCCAGUGAAUGCCAUUAGUGUGGUUAAAUUAAAUGUGCAGUAUAAACUCAUAUGCAAAUACUUAUUGUUUAUGCAUAAUCAAUAUGGACAGUUUUCAUAAGCAAUUAGAUUUUAAUCUUUCUUUACAGUGGGUCCUGGCCAAUUUUACUCACCACUUCUCCCAGUGCUAUUUGAGCAACUCUUGUUAAUGUUGCAGUACCUUUCAUCGCACAAGUUGUGAUGGGGGAAAGGCAUAAAAUGGACUUGAGCUAGGUAUGCUGGUAUCUAUACUUAGGCAGACCCAAUCUUGGGAACAACUUGGAGUCAAGUAUUUGAAUGAAUUUAAAAUUUUUUCUGUUCUGACUGAGGGGAAGACUAUUAAUACCGGAGGAGAGAAUUGUAGCCAACUUGAAGUUUUCUAUUCACUGUUUAAUCUUUCCCUCAAAGUCCUCAGCUCCUUUAUUAAUAGAGUACUGUGGCUGUGCAGCUAAAGAGAUUAGGAGUUUGAAACUUCUCCCUAAUAACAAAAAAUAAGCCGUAUUAGAUGUAAGGAAAUACACCUCGCACUUUCCUAGAGUAGUCAGAAAAGCAGUGAGCUAAAUUGACCGCUGAGAACUGUUUUACUAGUUCUCACAAAAACUAAAAGGACAAAGGAAUUUGUGGUAACACAAUCAAAGAAAGCUAACUUUGGAAAAAUUGAAUGACCACUGAAAACAGAUCAAGUGGGGUGGGAAGAGAUGUUUAUAAUCAAGAAAUGAUAUACCAGAACUGAGGAAAAAAACAGAGGAUGAGGAUACACUCUUUGAAUAAUUCCCCCAACAGAAUUUAAUAUCUUGCUCCAUUGUCCAAUAGGGAGAAAAAGAGAAUUGCUUGUAAAUCAAGCAAACUUGCUACAAAAUACAGGUUUAAGAACUUUCUAUGUUAAUCGACAUCAUGUUCCCUUAUCUAUGCAGAGGGGAGAAUAUCUAGACUGUACAGUGCUCUGCUUUUCUCCACAGCCCUCAGUAAGUGCCUUGCUUUGCCAUGCAAAACAUGAGGAGAGAGAUGCCUGCAGCUGGAGUUCAGCAAAACUUCAACAGCGGAAUAGGAAGCACACAGAAGAAUGAAGGAUCUGGUUUAGACUAAGAUCGAUGUCUCUUCUUCCAGUUAAAGCUCUUCCAUUUUUAUAAAAUGACUUAAUGUUGCUUGAAUAGGGGCUGGAAUUUAUCCCUAAACAUCUCUUGACCUCUGGGAUGCUUCAAUAGAAGAGCUAAUAUCCUUGGAUACCUUGUAGCCCACUGAUUGAAUCAAGGAGCUUAUAGAAGCUGGAGUUUGAGUUUUUGGUCGUAUAGAAGACACACAAUGUGAAUUUAAUCAGGAAGCUCUUCAGUUUUGUAGAGGAGCGGUUCUCUACAUGCGGUUUUGUCUCGACAUUGCUGCUGCUGCUGCUGCAAAGCCGCUGCUGCCAAGGCGCGUCGGGCAAUGCUGCGCUGGCGCCCCGGGAGCCAUCCGCAAGGUAAACAACCUCGUGCACCUGCACGAGGUAAAAAGGGCGCAAAAAGGGCAGAAGGUCAUCUCUAGGGCACGAACCGCACGCACUCAUUUGCCAUCUGCGCAUGAGCAGGAGACCCCCAGAUGCCCCAGCCCGUUUCUGGAAGGUUCCGAGAGGGUGGACUGUGCAUGACAGUUAAUCUGCAUGGGAAGUGAGGAAGCACCUCCCAGAGGUGGGGCAAGAACCUAUAAAAACUGCAGACUGUGUGACUGGGGGGGGGGGGGCUUGCUUGCGACAACUGAGGAACUGGAGCAGAGUCAGCGGAACCAGACGGGAGCUUCCCGCCGCUGCCCCCCUCCGCCACUGAGACUCCGAAGAGAAGAGGACCAACGGGACACCGCUGGAUCCACGGGUGGUGAUCUCCCUCUCUCUCUCUCUCUGUCUUCCCCUUUUCCUCUCUUUUUCCUAAACAUGUGACGCGGGACGUGUCUAGUUAGUUGAUUCCAUUUUGCCUUAAUAAAUCUUAAAACUGGU